UACGGAGGGUGCGAGCGUUAAUCGGAAUUACUGGGCGUAAAGCGUGCGUAGACGGUUAUUUAAGUCGGGUGUGAAAGCCCCGGGCUCAACCUGGGAAUUGCAUUCGAGACUGAAUAGCUAGGGUACGGUAGAGGGAAGUGGAAUUUCCGGUGUAGCGGUGAAAUGCGUAGAUAUCGGAAGGAACAUCAGUGGCGAAAGCGACUUCCUGGACCAGUACCGACGUUCAGGCACGAAAGCGUGGGGAGCAAACAGGAUUAGAAACCCGAGUAGUCC
rnacentral:rRNA from 1 species